ACAGGCCCUCCCUCCGUUGCCCAGGUGGGAGUGCAGUGGUGUGAUGUCAGUUCACUGCAACCUUGGCCUCCCGGAUUCAAGCGAUUCUCCUGCCUUAACCUUCCGAACAUGGAUCCCUGAGGUCGGUCCCCAAUACGACAAGACAAUUUGAUAUCAUAAUAGAACACUGCAGAAACAAUGCUGAGUGAAGAAGAGUAGAAAUGGGAAGACUUGGUUGAGCGGAAACUGAGUUCUUGAAAAGAGGAGAUGCUUGAUGAGGAUGGAGUCUUGCUCUGUCGCCCAGCCUGGAGUGCAGCAGCACGAUCUCAGCUCACUGCAUCCUCCGUCUCCCAGGUUGAAGGGAUUCUCUUGUCUCAGCCUCCCGAACAACUGGGACUAAAGGCAUGGAUCCCUGAGGUCUGCCCCAGUACUAUAAGACAAUUUGAUGUAAGAAAACACAGCAGAUAUAAUACUGAGUGAAGAAGAGUAUAAAUGAGAAGAUUGGUUGUGCAGAUACUGAGUUCAUGAAAAGAGGAGAUGAUUGAUGAGGCCAGGUGCGGUGACUCAUGCCUGUAAUCCCUGCACUUUGGGAGGCUGCGGCGGGCGGAUCACCUGAGGUCAGGAGUUCGAGACCAGCCUGGGAGACAGAGCAUGGAAACCUAAGGUCUGUACCCAAAACUACAGGACUAUUUGACAUCAUAAUAAAACACUGCAGAUAUGAUGCUGAGUAAGAGUAGAAAUGGGAAGACUUGGUUGUGCAGUAACUGAGUUCUUGAAAAGAGGAGAUGCUUGAUGAGGGCAUGGAUCACUAAGGUCUGUUCCCAAUACAAGAAGACUCUUUGACAUCAUAAUAAAAUACUGCAGAUACGAUGCUGAGUGAAAAAGAGUAGAAAUGGGAAGACUUGGUUGUGCAGAAACUGAGUUCUUAAAGAGAGGAGAUACUUUAUGAGGCCCGACUCUUAUUCUGUCACCCAGGCUGGAGUGCACUGGAGCAAUCCUGGCUGGCCAAUACUGAGUUCUUGAAAACAGGAGAUGCUUGAUGAGGAUGGGAUCAUCUAGUUGCAGGAAAACAAGGCUCAGGGUGCCUACUGAUUCUACAUUAUGCUUGGUCCGGAGAGCUGCCUUGGACUCUCCAAUGCAGCUGCCUCUGUUACCUUGACUCGUCUCAGAUUUCAUUGACCCAAGAUGGGUCCUGGCACUAGGAAUGUCUUUAGAAAAUAACUUAACUCUUUCAAGCAAUUGCCAAUCAGAAAAUCUUGGAAUCCUCCUAUGACCUUUUGGCUUUUUUAGUCAAUAUUAAUUGGCACCCUACAUAUGGGGCCUCAGAGAAGACUCAGAACCCUGAAAGAGUCACCCAAACCCAGAGCUAAGGUACCAGCAGGGGCCCAUUGAAAGCCCCCCAACUCCAAGCUUCUUCUUGAGUGAAACUGUUGCAGGGCUUUGACUCCUGGGUACAUGUAUCUCAUCUGAAAGGGAAUCCUGACGCCUACUGAAUCUUAAUAGUCAAUAUUGAUAUCUGGCAUCAAAUUCAAGUUGACCAAAGUUCCAUCUUCAGACCUGGGAGAAGAUGACAGUCAAAAUGAACUGCUUUCAUGUGACACUGGACCAGGCCUAUAUACAAAGGCAUAAGUAAUCAUUGAAUAAUGUUUCAUCUAUCUAUCUUAAUAUAAUUUGUUCUAUGCCUUACUAGAUAAAUGUUUAGUUACCUGUGAGUUUUCUUUUCCUGCCAUUGUCAGAGCUAGGCAGGGCUUAAGUCCCUUUCGUUUAAACAUUACUAACUCUAUACAUAGCUUGCAAAAUUGGAUAAAACAACAAAGGUUACUUUUUCACUCUCUCUCUGCUUAAUAUCUCUGAAAUUUAAAACUAUUCAGAAUCCCACUGGGCCCGAUCUAUUUUCAAUGCUAAUGCUCCACUGCUAAAACUAUAUAAGCAUCUUCCCUCUAGGCUCAGGCACUAUCUUGGAAGAGGUAAAUGUGUAAGAUUGUAAAGGUUGAUUUUUGAGCAACAAAAUUAAUUUAGAUCUUCCAAAUAAAAAAUGGGCACACAGAUGCCCAAACAGUUGGCAAAAUAA
rnacentral:lncRNA from 1 species